UACGGAGGGUGCGAGCGUUAAUCGGAAUUACUGGGCGUAAAGCGUGCGUAGGCGGUUUGAUAAGUCGGGUGUGAAAGCCCCGGGCUUAACCUGGGAAUUGCAUUCGAUACUAUCUGACUCGAGUCUGGGAGAGGGAAGCGGAAUUCCCGGUGUAGUGGUGAAAUGCGUAGAUAUCGGGAGGAACACCAGGUGGCGAAGGCGACUUCCU
rnacentral:rRNA from 1 species